rnacentral:misc_RNA from 1 species
UGAGCAAAGACAACAUCGUCCUGUCGGGCGUCUUCACAAAGUACCUGCAUUCAGAGAAUCGCAUCGGCCAGGCCGAUGUGAGUGUCCCUUUUGGGGCCUUAGCUCAGCUGGGAGAGCACCUGCUUUGCAAGCAGGGGGUCGUCGGUUCGAUCCCGACAGGCUCCACCAUCUAAGCUGUACCGGAAGAGUCUUCCGGGUCUGUAGCUCAGGUGGUUAGAGCGCACCCCUGAUAAGGGUGAGGUCGGUAGUUCGAGUCUACCCAGACCCACCAUUCUCUGAAUGACGCAUACAAUCGAUCUUUAUACGCAUCGGCACUGUGGCCGGUACGUGUUCUUUUAAAACUUGUGACGUAGCGAGCGUUUGAGAUACAUCUAUCAGACGUGUCGUGAGGCUAAGGCGGGAAUCGGAAGAUUCCUUAUUAAUUGAGUCGUUAUAUUCGUAUCUGGGCUUUGUACCCCCAGGUCAAAUAUAUAACCCAAGGCAACUUGCGGUUAUAU